rnacentral:rRNA from 1 species
GGCGGACGGGUGAGGAACGCUUGGGAAUCUGCCUAUCAGCGGGGGACAACACGGGGAAACUCGUGCUAAUACCGCAUACGCUCUACGGAGGAAAGCCGGGGACCGCAAGGCCUGGCACUGAUAGAUGAGCCCAAGUCGGAUUAGCUAGUUGGCGGGGUAACGGCCCACCAAGGCGACGAUCCGUAGCUGGUCUGAGAGGACGAUCAGCCACACUGGAACUGAGACACGGUCCAGACUCCUACGGGAGGCAGCAGUGGGGAAUAUUGGACAAUGGGGGAAACCCUGAUCCAGCGACGCCGCGUGGGUGAAGAAGGCCUGCGGGUUGUAAAGCCCUUUCGGUAGGGACGAAAGCUCUCGACCUAACACGUCGGGAGGUUGACUUAACCUACAAAAGAAGCACCGGCUAACUCUGUGCCAGCAGCCGCGGUAAUACAGAGGGUGCGAGCGUUAAUCGGAAUUACUGGGCGUAAAGCGCACGUA